rnacentral:rRNA from 1 species
AUACGGAGGGUGCAAGCGUUAUUCGGAAUCACUGGGCGUAAAGGACGCGUAGGCGGCUUGUAAAGUCGGAUGUGAAAGCCCUGGGCUCAACCUGGGAACUGCAUUCGAUACUGGCAAGCUAGAGUAUAGUAGAGGCAAGUGGAAUUCCGGGUGUAGCGGUGAAAUGCGUAGAUAUCCGGAGGAACAUCAGUGGCGAAGGCGACUUGCUGGACUAAUACUGACGCUGAGGUGCGAAAGCGUGGGGAGCAAACAGGAUUAGAUACCCCAGUAGUCC